AUUGAACGCUGGCGGCAGGCCUAACACAUGCAAGUCGAGCGGAUGAAGGGAGCUUGCUCCUGGAUUCAGCGGCGGACGGGUGAGUAAUGCCUAGGAAUCUGCCUGGUAGUGGGGGAUAACGUCCGGAAACGGGCGCUAAUACCGCAUACGUCCUGAGGGAGAAAGUGGGGGAUCUUCGGACCUCACGCUAUCAGAUGAGCCUAGGUCGGAUUAGCUAGUUGGAGGGGUAAAGGCCUACCAAGGCGACGAUCCGUAACUGGUCUUAGAGGAUGACCAGUCAGACUGGAACUGAGACACGGUCCAGACUCCUGCGGGAGGCAGCAGUGGGGAAUAUUGGACGAUGGGCGAAAGCCUGAUCCAGCCAUGCCGCGUGUGUGAAGAAGGUCUUCGGAUUGUAAAGCACUUUAAGUUGGGAGGAAGGGCAGUAAGUUAAUACCUUGCUGUUUUGACGUUACCAACAGAAUAAGCACCGGCUAACUUCGUG
rnacentral:rRNA from 1 species